UGAACAUUGUUACCAAUAAUGUGAUACCUAG
rnacentral:piRNA from 1 species